rnacentral:piRNA from 1 species
CGAAGGACUAGAAUGAGCUCACA